rnacentral:rRNA from 1 species
ACUCCUACGGGAGGCAGCAGUGGGGAAUUUUGGACAAUGGGGGCAACCCUGAUCCAGCCAUGCCGCGUGAGUGAAGAAGGCCUUCGGGUUGUAAAGCUCUUUCGGCCGGGAAGAAAUCGCUCAAGCUAAUACCUUGGGUGGAUGACGGUACCGGAAGAAGAAGCACCGGCUAACUACGUGCCAGCAGCCGCGGUAAUACGUAGGGUGCGAGCGUUAAUCGGAAUUACUGGGCGUAAAGCGUGCGCAGGCGGCGCCAUAAGACAGAUGUGAAAUCCCCGGGCUUAACCUGGGAACUGCGUUUGUGACUGUGGUGCUCGAGUGCGGCAGAGGGGGGUGGAAUUCCACGUGUAGCAGCGAAAUGCGUAGAGAUGUGGAGGAACACCGAUGGCGAAGGCAGCCCCCUGGGUCGACACCGACGCUCAUGCACGAAAGCGUGGGGAGCAAACAGGAUUAGAUACCCUGGUAGUC